rnacentral:rRNA from 1 species
GGAUUAGGCAUGCAAGUCGUGCGCGAAACGUAGCAAUACGUGGAGAGCGGCGAAAGGGAGAGUAAUACAUGGUUAGCUGCCCUCGGGACUGGAAUAGCGGCGGGAAACUGCCGGUAAUGCCAGAUGACGUCUUCGGACCAAACGUGUAAACCGGCCCGAGGAGGCGACCGUGUCCUAUCAGCUUGUUGGCGGGGUAACGGCCCACCAAGGCAUAGACGGGUAUGGGGCGUGAGAGCGUGCCCCCACUCACUGGGACUGAGAACUGCCCAGACACCUACGGGUGGCUGCAGUCGAGAAUCUUCGGCAUUGGGCGCAAGCCUGACCGAGCGACACCGCGUGCGGGAUGAAGGCCUUCGGGUUGUAAACCGCUGUCGUAGGGGAGGAAGGUCUGGUGUAUAGCCAGGCUUGACCGAUCCUAGAAGGAAGGGCCGGCUAAUCUCGUGCCAGCAGCCGCGGUAAUACGAGAGGCCCAAACGUUAUUCGGAUUUACUGGGCUUAAAGAGUUCGUAGGCGGCGCAGAAAGUAGGGUGUGAAAGCCCUCGGCUCAACCGAGGAACUGCGCUCUAAACUGUCGCGCUUGAGGAAGCUAGAGGUGAGCGGAACUGAUGGUGGAGCGGUGAAAUGCGUUGAUAUCAUCAGGAACACCGGAGGCGAAGGCGGCUCACUGGGGCUUAUCUGACGCUGAGGAACGAAAGCCAGGGGAGCAAACGGGAUUAGAUACCCCGGUAGUCCUGGCCGUAAACGAUGAGCACUGGACCGGAGGGCUGCACAGCUUUUCGGUCGUAGCGAAAGUGGAAGUGCUCCGCCUGGGGAGUAUGGUCGCAAGGC